rnacentral:rRNA from 1 species
UGGUUUUAUAAGUUGUAGUUCUAGCCUGCUCACUGAUAAGAAUUAUUAAAUAGCCGCGGUAUCUUGACCGUGCAAAGGUAGCAUAAUCAUUAGCUUCUUAAUUGGAAGCUUGUAUGAAUGGUUGGACAAAGGAAAAGCUGUCUCUUUUAUUAAAAUUGAAUUUAACUUCUAAGUGAAAAGGCUUAGAUACUUUAGAGGGACGAUAAGACCCUAUAAAGCUUUAUAAAUUUAAAGAUUUUACAUAUUUUAUCUAUAAUGGUAACCUCUGGAGAAUUUAUUGGGUUGGGGCAACAAAAGUAUAAUUAUCAAUAACUGCUAUAAAAUAAUACAAUUAUCUUUGUGUGGGUAGAUUAGUUGAUCCCUGAAAAGGAUUAAAAGAUCAAGUUACUUUAGGGAUAACAGCGUAAUUUAUCCUGAGAGUUCUUAUCAAAGGAAAAGUUUGCGACCUCGAUGUUGAAUUAAAAUGUCUUUGUAGUGCAGCAGCUACACAAGAAGGUCUGUUCGACCUUUAAUUUUUUACAUGAUCUGAUUCCAAAACGGAA